UCUAUAAGUAGCACGCGGCGGCCCCCUGUCAGUUAUUUCCCUCGGACGACGAUGCAUCUCUUCGUUGAGCGAUCGAGACAGCGCGACGGAGAUCGUCCGACGAGAGGGCGAUUCCAUCGCCUCAAAUGGAGUUUCCACUAAUUCGAUCUCUUUCAAGAAACAAGAAAGAAGAACGUUGAUUGCCCUUGUUCGAUCUUAGGAUCCAUCUUUCUCCUUUCGCAGCUCGGUUGUGACCACCAAAUCCCUCGCGGCGCCCGUCAAAUCAGCCAUCGACAAGAUCCAGGUCCGCGCCGCCUUCUUGAGGGUGCGAGGGCUGGUGAAGCAACCCAUCGAUUCUUUUCGUUACUUCGUCAACCAUGAAAUCAAGAACAUGAAAGCCAUCGAUCUCCUCGUCUGCCGUCAUGAGCCCAGCUUCUAUCACAGCCAAACACACGGCGUAACUCUUGAAACACUUAGUUCUUUGAUUUUCUUUGGUUUUUAACGAAUCGAUCAAUUUUUUCUUCUCUUUUUUUCUUAUAUUGUGGAUUUUCUUGAUUUACGUUCACCGACAUUGAAUUCGGGGAGCCUUGAGAAGGUGUGAUUUCUCCAUCUAGACUGUUACUCCACAUCUGUUACGUCUUUCCGACGGAACGUGUGUUAUGUUUCCUCUCCUACCUGUUUUUGGUUAGGGAGUCCCAAAUGUCAAAUCAGUUGCGUCAAUGAUGCGGUUGUUUGAACUUUUGGUACUGUCUUUUGGACAAGUAGUUCGAUUAAAGAAAUGGGUAUAUAGUGACCUCGUUCUUCUGUA